AGAGUUUGAUCCUGGCUCAGGACGAACGCUGGCGGCGCGCCUAACACAUGCAAGUCGAACGGAGUUAUUUUCUUCACUCCGAGCUUUUUGCCAGUUAGCCGGAGCGGCAAUCGGUUUUGCCCAGCAUAAAAAGCAAAACCGAUUUAGGCUCAUAAAGUAAGACUAACACAGAGGGCAGAGAGUUGGGAGUGAAGAAAAUAACUUAGUGGCGAACGGGUGAGUAACGCGUGAGUAACCUGCCCUGGAGUGGGGGACAACAGUUGGAAACGACUGCUAAUACCGCAUAAGCCCACGGCCCGGCAUCGGGCUGAGGGAAAAGGAUUUAUUCGCUUCAGGAUGGACUCGCGUCCAAUUAGCUAGUUGGUGAGGUAACGGCCCACCAAGGCGACGAUUGGUAGCCGGACUGAGAGGUUGAACGGCCACAUUGGGACUGAGACACGGCCCAGACUCCUACGGGAGGCAGCAGUGGGGGAUAUUGCACAAUGGGGGAAACCCUGAUGCAGCGACGCCGCGUGGAGGAAGAAGGUUUUCGGAUUGUAAACUCCUGUCGUUAGGGACGAUAAUGACGGUACCUAACAAGAAAGCACCGGCUAACUACGUGCCAGCAGCCGCGGUAAAACGUAGGGUGCAAGCGUUGUCCGGAAUUACUGGGUGUAAAGGGAGCGCAGGCGGACCGGCAAGUUGGAAGUGAAAACUAUGGGCUCAACCCAUAAAUUGCUUUCAAAACUGCUGGCCUUGAGUAGUGCAGAGGUAGGUGGAAUUCCCGGUGUAGCGGUGGAAUGCGUAGAUAUCGGGAGGAACACCAGUGGCGAAGGCGGCCUACUGGGCACCAACUGACGCUGAGGCUCGAAAGUGUGGGUAGCAAACAGGAUUAGAUACCCUGGUAGUCCACACCGUAAACGAUGAUUACUAGGUGUUGGAGGAUUGACCCCUUCAGUGCCGCAGUUAACACAAUAAGUAAUCCACCUGGGGAGUACGACCGCAAGGUUGAAACUCAAAGGAAUUGACGGGGGCCCGCACAAGCAGUGGAGUAU
rnacentral:rRNA from 1 species